AAAUAGAUACCCCGGGGUAGUCCACGCUGUAAAACGAUGAGUGCUAGAUGUUAGGAGGGCAACCUCUUAGUGUCGCAGCUAACGCAUUAAGCACUCCGCCUGGGGAGUACGGUCGCAAAGAUUAAAAACUCAAAGGAAGUUGACGGGGGGCCCGCACAAGCGGUGGAGUAUGUGGUUUAAUUCGAAGCAACGCGAAAAAACCUUACCAGCUCUUGACAUGGGGGAUUAAGGAUUUAAGAGAUUAGAUCUGUCGGUUCGGCCGGAUCCCACACAGGUGCUGCAUGGCUGUCGUCAGCUCGUGUCGUGAGAUGUUGGGUUAAGUCCCGCAACGAGCGCAACCCUCAUUGUUAGUUGCCAUCAGGUUUGGCUGGGCACUCUAACAAACUGCCGAUGACAAGUCGGAGGAAGGUGGGAUGACGUCAAGUCCUCAUGGUCCCUUAUGGGCUGGGCUACACACGUACUACAAUGGUGGUGACAACAGGAAGCGACGGGGUAACCCUGAGCAAAUACCCAAAAAGCCAUCUCAGUUCGGAUUGUUCUCUGA
rnacentral:rRNA from 1 species